GUUCUGCAUCAGGCAGUCGCUAUUCCGCCUCUGGCGGGAUGGAGGAAAGUCCGGGCACGCCCUUAUUUCGCAAGAAAUCAGGAGGACGGUAGCGGGUAACUCCCGUCUGGGUAAUCCAAGGGAUGCGAGCAGAGACGCCGAAGCCGAGAGGCCAAGGCAUCCGCCGGCUGGCGGAUGAGUCCCGCAACAAUGCGGGAGUGAAACGGCAAAAUUCCUACCUGCGUGCAAGGCCGUGCUUGUUGCGACCACGCGUGGCAACAAGAGAGCCGCUUGACCCCGCAAGCAAUUGAGGGGCUAGAUAAAUGACUGUCGUCGCCGAAAGGCGGAACAGAACCCGGCUUACAGAUGCAGAAGAAAA
rnacentral:RNase_P_RNA from 1 species